AGAGUUUGAUCAUGGCUCAGAUUGAACGCUGGCGGCAGGCCUAACACAUGCAAGUCGAACGGUAACAGGAAGCAGCUUGCUGCUUCGCUGACGAGUGGCGGACGGGUGAGUAAUGUCUGGGAAACUGCCUGAUGGAGGGGGAUAACUACUGGAAACGGUGGCUAAUACCGCAUAACGUCGCAAGACCAAAGAGGGGGACCUUCGGGCCUCUUGCCAUCAGAUGUGCCCAGAUGGGAUUAGCUUGUUGGUGAGGUAACGGCUCACCAAGGCGACGAUCCCUAGCUGGUCUGAGAGGAUGACCAGCCACACUGGAACUGAGACACGGUCCAGACUCCUACGGGAGGCAGCAGUGGGGAAUAUUGCACAAUGGGCGCAAGCCUGAUGCAGCCAUGCCGCGUGUAUGAAGAAGGCCUUCGGGUUGUAAAGUACUUUCAGCGGGGAGGAAGGUGUUGUGGUUAAUAACCGCAGCAAUUGACGUUACCCGCAGAAGAAGCACCGGCUAACUCCGUGCCAGCAGCCGCGGUAAUACGGAGGGUGCAAGCGUUAAUCGGAAUUACUGGGCGUAAAGCGCACGCAGGCGGUCUGUCAAGUCGGAUGUGAAAUCCCCGGGCUCAACCUGGGAACUGCAUUCGAAACUGGCAGGCUUGAGUCUUGUAGAGGGGGGUAGAAUUCCAGGUGUAGCGGUGAAAUGCGUAGAGAUCUGGAGGAAUACCGGUGGCGAAGGCGGCCCCCUGGACAAAGACUGACGCUCAGGUGCGAAAGCGUGGGGAGCAAACAGGAUUAGAUACCCUGGUAGUCCACGCCGUAAACGAUGUCUACUUGGAGGUUGUGCCCUUGAGGCGUGGCUUCCGGAGCUAACGCGUUAAGUAGACCGCCUGGGGAGUACGGCCGCAAGGUUAAAACUCAAAUGAAUUGACGGGGGCCCGCACAAGCGGUGGAGCAUGUGGUUUAAUUCGAUGCAACGCGAAGAACCUUACCUGGUCUUGACAUCCACGGAAGAAUUCAGAGAUGGAUUUGUGCCUUCGGGAACCGUGAGACAGGUGCUGCAUGGCUGUCGUCAGCUCGUGUUGUGAAAUGUUGGGUUAAGUCCCGCAACGAGCGCAACCCUUAUCCUUUGUUGCCAGCGGUCCGGCCGGGAACUCAAAGGAGACUGCCAGUGAUAAACUGGAGGAAGGUGGGGAUGACGUCAAGUCAUCAUGGCCCUUACGACCAGGGCUACACACGUGCUACAAUGGCGCAUACAAAGAGAAGCGACCUCGCGAGAGCAAGCGGACCUCAUAAAGUGCGUCGUAGUCCGGAUUGGAGUCUGCAACUCGACUCCAUGAAGUCGGAAUCGCUAGUAAUCGUGGAUCAGAAUGCCACGGUGAAUACGUUCCCGGGCCUUGUACACACCGCCCGUCACACCAUGGGAGUGGGUUGCAAAAGAAGUAGGUAGCUUAACCUUCGGGAGGGCGCUUACCACUUUGUGAUUCAUGACUGGGGUGAAGUCGUAACAAGGUAACCGUAGGGGAACCUGCGGUUG
rnacentral:rRNA from 2 species